AUGCGAUAAUUUGAGAACGGCACGACUGUAUGUGCAGAAAAAGCUGUCAACUACGCGGUUUUGAAUAUUUGUAAACAUGGCUCGUGAAAAUGCCAUAAUAGACAAUUUUUUAGAAGAUUUGGCUUAUUUAAGUGAUGAAGAGAACACUAAAUCAAGUGAUGAAGAAGAUAAAAGAGCUAGCAAAAAGAAUCGGAUGAGUAAAUUGCUACCGUUUUAUCAAACACGCAAUGAUAUCUUUGGCUACUUUUCUGAAGACAGAAUUAUGAAGACAUUCAGAUUGGACAAGGAUAGUAUCCAGUUUAUACUGGGUAAUUGGACUAAUGCAAAGAAUUCAUAGUAUGUGUUUAACUUGAGAAACAAUUUCCUUCAUUGAGAUUCAAUUUCACCAUCUGUCCAAUAUUCUCUUUUCUUUCGACUACUUGGAAUCACAUUUAUCUCUUUUCCAGCCGACUUUUUGGGACCCAUUUUAUAAAAUACGCAUGUAAUGUACUUUAACAGGGCUGUGUAAACAAUAACAAUUGUAGUUAGCGUGUUGUCAAUCGCUUUCGUCUGCUAUGCAUGCCCAUAGGCUUGAUUGUUUGAGAUUCUUACCAUUAGAUUUCUCGUAAGUUAAGUUCUCAAAGUCAAGGAAAGUCUAGAUCCUUACUUUGAAAGUAGACGUGGUUUUUAAGAUCAAUCUGACUCAGAAUCAAACUUUACUUUUUCGUUGAAAGUAAGGAAUUGAAAAUUCUACUUUGACUUUGAAAGUUGACUGUCGAAAGUAAAGGAUGGAAAAAUACACUAAGUAAAGUAAGAAAGUCAGAAUUCGACCCGGUAGUGUUAAUAGUCGUGCAGACCACCGGAACCCAAACUCAUCAAAAGAGCCUUUGGCCAAGUUACCUUCCGUUAAAAAAGUGGGCCCUGUUCCUAGGAGUAUGUUAACAGGUGACAGGACUUGUGACGUGACUGAAAAAACAUCCAAGGUGACAGUUGAAAGUGCCACAAUACAUGCAACUGCGAAUGUUGAAAUCACUGAAAAGACAGCUAAAGUCAUAGUUCAGAAUACAAUUAUCAGUGCAAUUACAAGUGUUGCAAGUCGUGCAGUCAACAGGAGCCCUAACACAUCACAAGAGCCUCCGCCUUCCGUUCGAAGUCCAAAAUCGGGCCCUCUUCCUAGAUGUAUGUUAACAGGUAACGGGACUUGUGACAUAACUGAAAAAACAUCCAAGUGCCGCUGGAAGUGUUACGAGUCUUUCAGACCACUGGAGCCCUAAUACAUCACAAGAGCCUCCGCCCAAGUUACCUUCUGUUUGGGAAAAACAGCCUUCGCUGUCACUGCCCAUUCAAACUAAAAGUAAGUCUCCGUUUAAGAUAACGGUGAUUAAACAGGGAAACGUUGAAGGUGCCAAACAACAGCUUUUUGGGCCGUCGUGUAGACGGCUGUGUCAAUGCCGGUGUAGAUCAGUCGCUGGUAAAUGGUUUAUCCAAGGAAACUUCUAAAUCACUGGUUUCUGUGUUAUGUUUGUGUUUAUUUCACACUGUCUAAGCUCCAAUUUUUAAACGAAGCUACAAAGAAUUUAAAAAUACAAAUCUAUUGUCACUGAA
rnacentral:misc_RNA from 1 species